GCCGAAGUGGUGGAAUUGGUAGACACGCAUGCUUGAGGGGCAUGUGGGAUAACUCCCGUGUCGGUUCGAGUCCGACCUUUGGCAC
rnacentral:tRNA from 1 species